ACUUCAAUAUCUUCUAUGCUGUUUGCACACCAUGCUCGCUUUUUCGUUUACAAAUGCCAGUUUCGAAAUAAUUCGUUUUCUUUACACUCGUGAUCGCAUAAAAGGUUAAUGAUACACGUUUUCAUUCGCAAUUUUUUUACAAAAUCACGACAAAUGUAAAGUACAAUACAAAACAUGCAUAGUUGUUUGAUUGAUUUAUAAUCAUAUAAAAGAUUGGAUAUAACGGAUAAAAAAUUAACGUUUUAAAACUUUUAUUUAAUCUUUUCCCCAGAAAAUGCUGUCCUAUUUAUAGCUGGCGAUGUUCUUAUUAUUGAUCUUAAACAGCCGAGAAACACUAGCACAUGUGUUGGUUUCUGCUAUAUUUAAGGUCUUAUCACCAGCAUCAAUGCAGCAUGGCCGGGAGCUGCACACGAUGCCCAUGUCUUCAGAAGUUCAGCAAUAGGAACGUACUUAGAUCGGCAUCACCGAAGUUUGGAAAAUGGUGUUCUUCUUGGGGACAGUGGGUAUCCCUGUCGCACGUUCCUGCUGACACCGUAUCUAAACGCUACUAACGCUGUCCAAGAACGGUACAAUGACAGUCACAGCAAGACACGAUGCUGCAUUGAGCGCCUCUUUGGUGUUUGGAAGAGACGCUUUCACAUCCUUCACGCUGAGAUAAGACUGAAGCCAGAGAAAUGCAGCAAUGUGAUUAUAGCGUGUGCUGUUCUUCACAAUCUUGCCAAACUGUGGGGUGAGCCGGAAGUACUUCCCGAGGACGAACUGCGUUACGUGGAAACCCCGGCAUACAUCGGGCACCAGGAUGGUCGUGGUAUACGAGACCAUAUCGCCAAUAACUAUUUUGAUCGCUGAAAUGUGCACAUGCAUAGAAAGCAAACAUGAGAAAAAGUAAAAAAAAAACAAUAUAAAGUGGCAUUAUCAUAUAUUUAUAUAUAUACAACCAAAAAUAUGAACAGUUACCCAUGUGUGUGACAGUGGUUUUUUAACAUAUUUUGCACAUAAAAAGAAUUUACCGUCGCAUAAAGCAAACUAUUUCAUUAAAAGCGAACUAUUG